rnacentral:lncRNA from 1 species
AGAGAAACCUUGUCUCAAAAAACAAAAACAAAAAACCAACAAAAUCUCUUUGUAGGAUUUCAGGAGUACUUAUAACAAUGCAAAGGUGGUAUGUGUAAUUGUGUCUUCUGUUGUUGUUGCUUUUGGAGCCAGGGUUUCACCAUGUAAUUCUGGCUGAACAGACUAGAUGAGGCCACUAGGGUGGCCUCAAACUCAUAAAGAUCCACCUGCUUCUUUCUCCUGAAUGUGAUUGUACUAACAUAAAUUAUAGAUAAACAGACUGGUAGAUAGACACACAUUUAUAUUCAGUGUGUAGGAAGACACAGUGUACUUGUCUCUGAGCAAUGUGUUUUUUUGUCUAUGAGUUUUUUUUACAGUUAAAGAGAUACAUUAUAUGCUUGCCUUUUUAGGCUUUCCUAGACAUCCUGAGGUGUUCUGUUGUAGCAACUAAAUCUGCUAAUUUGUGCCACUCCACACUUCUCUCCAUUUUUCCCUGUCUUAUCUACUUGCAUACCUUUGCUAUUCACAGCCUCUUAGCUACUUUUCUGCUGUUAUAACAAAACACCAUGAUCAAAGCAACUCCUAGGAGCAUUUACUGGGGGAGAGUGUCAGAAUAAUUAUCUCUGCAUGUUAUGAGCAUUUAGAAUUAUCUGAAUAGCAAGUAGGUCUGCAAGCUUAUUUUCAUGACUGGAGAAUAUUUUUUAAAAAUGUGCCAUGUCUGGGCUGGAGAGAUGGCUCAGCAGUUAAGAGCACUGACUGCCCUCCCAGAGGACAGGGGUUCAAUUGCCAGCACCCAGCUCACACCUGUGUGUAAUUCCAGUUCCAGGGAAUCUUACACCUUUAGACCAAUUCACAUAAAAUAAAGCUAAAUAAAUAAAAUAGAAAGACUGGGGACACUGUGGGGACAUAUUACAGUGACGGAUCAUGAAGCCUCAGGCCAUGCUCAGCUUGUAUCAAGUCUUAGCUGAAAAUAACAGAAAGGAUUUUGAUAAUGCAUUGACAUAAACUUUAUCCCCAAAGAGUCCUGUCUUGCUUGUUGUCUAACAAUGGCCAAAGGAUGGCAUUCCCCAAUGGACAGCCAUCGUUCAAGUGAGGCUUCCUAGACUUCUAUUGGCUCUUUCAACUUUGGGGUGUUGUCUUUGAACUUGGCCAUCAUCAGCAAUGUUCACACCCAGGGGUUCCCUUCAGGGCUCCAUAGCCUUUCCAGUACUCUCUUCCCUGAAUUCCUUAAGAACAGAACUCUGGAGCUGGAGAGAUGGCACUUGCAGCUCGUGCAGAGGACCUGGGUUUGGUUCCCAUCACCUACAUGCUGGCUGUUCACAAGAUCUGUAAUUCGCUGGGUGUUGGUGGCGCAUGCCUUUAAUCCCAGC